UAACACAUGCAAGUUGAGCGAUUUACUUCGGUAAAGAGCGGCGGACGGGUGAGUAACGCGUGGGUAACCUACCCUGUACACACGGAUAACAUACCGAAAGGUAUGCUAAUACGGGAUAAUAUAUUUGGGAGGCAUCUCUUAAAUAUCAAAGGUGAGCCAGUACAGGAUGGACCCGCGUCUGAUUAGCGAGUUGGUAAGGUAACGGCUUACCAAGGCGACGAUCAGUAGCCGACCUGAGAGGGUGAUCGGCCACAUUGGAACUGAGACACGGUCCAAACUCCUACGGGAGGCAGCAGUGGGGAAUAUUGCACAAUGGGCGAAAGCCUGAUGCAGCAACGCCGCGUGAGUGAUGAAGGCCUUCGGG
rnacentral:rRNA from 1 species